rnacentral:rRNA from 1 species
AUACGGAGGGUGCAAGCGUUAUUCGGAAUCACUGGGCGUAAAGGACGCGUAGGCGGGUUGGCAGGUCAGAUGUGAAAUCCUACAGCUUAACUGUAGAACUGCAUUUGAAACUGCUAACCUAGAGUAUGGGAGGGGGAGAUGGAAUUAGUGGUGUAGGGGUAAAAUCCGUAGAUAUCACUAGGAAUACCGAAAGCGAAGGCGAUCUCCUGGAACAUAACUGACGCUAAGGCGUGAAAGCGUGGGGAGCAAACAGGAUUAGAUACCCUAGUAGUCC